GCGAACGUUAGCGGCGCGCCUAACACAUGCAAGUCGCACGGAGUAGCAAUACUCAGUGGCGCACGGGUGCGUAACACGUAGAUAAUCUGCCCUUCAGCGGGGGAUAACGUUCCGAAAGGAGCGCUAAUACCGCAUACAGCGUUUGGUGGUUCGCCAUUAGACGGCAAAGGCUGGGAUCUUCGGACCAGUCACUGAAGGAGGAGUCUGCGGCCCAUCAGCUAGUUGGUGAGGUAAUGGCUCACCAAGGCAAAGACGGGUAGCUGGUCUGAGAGGAUGAUCAGCCACACUGGUACUGGAACACGGACCAGACUCCUACGGGAGGCAGCAGUGGGGAAUCUUGGUCAAUGGGCGCAAGCCUGAACCAGCGACGCCGCGUGAGUGAUGAAGGCCUUCGGGUUGUAAAGCUCUGUGGGGAGAGACGAAAGAAUCGGUUCUAACAGGACCGAAGUUGACGGUAUCUCCUUAGCAAGCACCGGCUAACUCUGUGCCAGCAGCCGCGGUAA
rnacentral:rRNA from 1 species